rnacentral:lncRNA from 1 species
GUCGCUAAUGGAGCCCGAGUCUGGUGUGUUUGUCUGUUAGCUGUUGUUUGGCCUAUUUUACGGCUUUAAAUGCAGUAUGAGGUCUGAUGUUUUCAUUUCAUAGUUUCAUGUGCAUGUAUUACUGUUUUAUUGAUUAUAGGUUGAAUGACUAAGAACCCGAUGUUGUAUGUUGUCUUGUUUGGCAUAAAUUACUAGUUUGCUUGUUUGUGUGUGAAUUGAUGAUGCUGACUGAGGAAAAGGGGAAUGAGAGGUUAUGUAAAUUGAUAAUUGUAUACUGUGGUCAGCCUGACUAGAUAUCUUGGGAGAUGGUGGACGGACCGGGUCCGUAGGGAACCCUACUGGGAUUGUGGUCUCUUAUACCGGACGAGGUAUGGAGACCUUAUGUGUUUUGGCGCCCAUACCGGAC